UUGGUCAUGAAUAUACAUUGGUUAGUCAUGUCACCUUUUCAGUUUUCUGUAAGCUAUAUAAUGUUUUAAAGUUCAGAACAGGGAACUGACUUGAGGCAACCAUUUGUGACAGAGUAACUCUGAGUUUGCCUUAUCUAUUGAACCUGAGAACGAGUCACUUCAGUCCUAAGCAGCCUGUGUCACACAUCUUCGUAGCAAAGGCUUGCCUACGCUUCAUGAAACAAGUUGAUGUAGUGGCAGAAGCAGAAGAAAAAAAGAGGAGCAGCAGGAGCAAGCAUUAGUUGUGGCCGAAGUGGGCAAGCAAUCAUAAAUAGUCCAAUAAACAAUGAUCCAUUUCUAGCACACUAAUGUCUUUGUCCCGGAUGCAAUGUUAAACAAUAAAUUGUGACUGAUUCAUGAUUUUGUGGAACAAUGACUAAUACGAAUUGUAUCUUGGUGGAUCCAAUGUACUUUGAAGUUUAAAAUA